CUCGUCUCAUUUCCUAACGCUGACAAAUCGCGUUCCACAGUUGGUCCUUCGAUCUCCUGGUGCUUCAUCUUCUGCAGCUCCUCUUCCUUCGAUUCCUCUGGCUUCUUCGGCUCGGUCUCUCCGCUUGGUGUCGAGAAAUACCUCGGUGACCAUGUUUCAGAUCUAAGUUUGUCGAUAUUGAAAACAGAAAAGGAUCUUAAGAGACCAAGCUCCUUAGUUACUGAUCCGUGGAUCAGAUGGUUUCUUAUGAGAGAUGAGGAAGAUUGGAGAUGACGGCGAGAGACGUGGAAAGAUGGAGAAGACAAGGGUUUAAGGAAUUUUGAAACCAAUCGACGAGAGAUCAUCAUCGUCGUCGCCGAUUUCGAUGCAGAGAAGAAGCUCUACGUAAUUAAUUUAGGGUUUCUAUUAUUGCCA